GGCAAGUGCAAUAUAACUUAUUUAUUUAUUUCUGUCGUGUUUAGGUUUAGUUUUAUUUAUCAUUUUAAUGCUGUUUUCUCUAGACAAAAAUAAUUUCUGGCUUCAGACGGAGUUCGGACUAUUUUGUUGUUGUUGAGAUUAUCGGCUUUUUGUGUUGUGAUUUACUUUUUGAUUUGCUUUUAUAAUUUUAUAGUCAUUUUUAUUUAUUUACAAAGCAACCAUUUUGGCAUGUGAUAACAAUUCAAGAUUAUACAUUAUUUUCUGUUAUAUUGAGUUCAUAUUAUUUAUUUUCUUGCCAUACCUAAGAUUACAGUUUAUGUUUAGCUUUGUUAUUUUGUGAGUUUUUUUGUUUAUAAUUUUAAAUAAAUGAUUUUGAGAGAGAGAGAGAGAGAGAGAGAGAGAGAGAGAGAGAGAGAGAUUGAUUGCUUUUCAUAAUCAUCCAUUGUGACCUUUGUACCUUGUCAAUGAUGCGUUGUUACUUAAUAAAGAUUGAUACUGACG
rnacentral:misc_RNA from 1 species